UACGUAGGGUGCAAGCGUUAAUCGGAAUUACUGGGCGUAAAGCGUGCGCAGGCGGUGAUGUAAGACAGGUGUGAAAUCCCCGGGCUUAACCUGGGAACUGCAUUUGUGACUGCAUCGCUAGAGUGCGGAAGAGGCGAGUGGAAUUCCUGGUGUAGCGGUGAAAUGCGUAGAUAUCUGGAGGAACACCGGUGGCGAAGGCGACAUCCUGGACCGGUAUUGACGCUGAGGCGCGAAAGCCAGGGGAGCAAACGGG
rnacentral:rRNA from 1 species